CCCUUAGAUGUUCUGGGCCGCACGCGCGCUACACUGACUGGUGCAACAAGUGUCUGACCUUGGCUCGAGAGGCCUGGGCAACCUUUGAACGCCAGUCGUGCUGGGGAUAGAUUCUUGCAAUUAUUAAUCUUCAACGAGGAAUUCCUAGUAAACGCAAGUCAUCAGCUUGCAUUGAUUACGUCCCUGCCCUUUGUACACACCGCCCGUCGCUCCUACCGAUUGAAUGGUCCGGUGAAGCGUUCGGACCGUGGCCUUUGGACGGUUCGCCGUCUGUUGGCUGCGGGAAGUUCGUUAAACCUUAUCAUUUAGAGGAAGGAGAAGUCGUAACA
rnacentral:rRNA from 1 species